AUGAGAGCACCAGGGAGUCCUGCAUCACGGCAUGGGAUUUGCUGCUGCCUCACCUGCCAGCCACCAUCAAUGGACUCAUCUUCUUCCCCUGAGUCAGCUGUGGUGACUCAGCCUCCCUCUGCCUCUGCAGCCCUGGGGAGCUCGGCCAGACUCUCCUGCACCCUGAGCAGUGAGCUCAGGGGUAAUUAUGUUGGUUGGUACCAGCAGAGCCCAGGAAAGCCCCCUAGGUCCCUCUUGUGGGUUAACGGUGAUGGAAGUGUAGAAAAGGGCGACGGGAUCCCUGAGCGCUUCUCUGGCUCCAGCUCUGGGGCUGAUCGAUUCCUGUCCAUCAGCAACGUCCAGGCUGAGGAUGAAGCCGAUUAUUUCUGUGGGAGAGGUUAUGGCAGUGGUGGUGGUUAUCAUUACCCACAGUGA